UUGAAAGGGAAACGAUUGAAGUCAGUCGUACCGACGAGAAAUCAGCUUAUCGUGUGUUAACUUGUGGGCGUGCGUGAGUUUCGGCCUCGCUGUUUGCAAGUUUGUGCGCUUUGGGUGUACUUUUUCGUAUGGUUGGCCAACAUCAGUUUCGAUUACUAUAAAAUGACUGGCGGAAUGUAGCUUCGAUUUCGGUUGAAGUGUUAUAGCCUCUGGUAGAUGUGGUAAUUGGGACUGAGGAUUGCAACGAAUAUCCUUUGGGCUAUCCGUCUGGCCUCUGAAAGUUGCUUGGGUGCUGAAAGCUUGCUUAUGGUUAUCUAAGUUAACGAUCAAUAGGUUAGAACGUGAUUACAUUCGUUAAGGAUGUUGACGUA
rnacentral:rRNA from 1 species